UACGUAGGUGGCGAGCGUUGUCCGGAAUCACUGGGCGUAAAGGGCGCGUAGGCGGCAUCACAAGUCGCAUGUGAAAAACCAGGGCUCAACCCUGGGGGGUCAUGCGAAACUGUGGAGCUUGAGUGCAGUAGAGGGAAGCGGAAUUCCUGGUGUAGCGGUAAAAUGCGUAGAGAUCAGGAGGAACACCGGUGGCGAAGGCGGCUUUCUGGGCUGCAACUGACGCUGAUGCGCGAAAGCGUGGGGAG
rnacentral:rRNA from 1 species